rnacentral:rRNA from 1 species
AUGAGGCGGACCACGGCGUUGCUGCUGCGCCACGUCGGCGGCGGGAUCCCGCAGGCGCUCGCCGACAUGCUCGUCUGCCCCCUGUCCAAGAAGCCUCUCAGGUACUGCGAGGCCAGCGGCUCUCUGGUCAGCGACGCCGUCGGCAUGUCCUUCCCGAUAGUAGAUGGAAUUCCUUGUCUCCUUCCGAAAGACGGCAAGUUGCUCGAGGACCACCAGAGGGAAUCAGGACAUGAAACCAGCCCUAGGGAUUCCUCUGAUUGA